GACGAACGCUGGCGGCGUGCCUAAUACAUGCAAGUAGAACGCACAGUUUAUACCGUAGCUUGCUACACCAUAGACUGUGAGUUGCGAACGGGUGAGUAACGCGUAGGUAACCUGCCUGGUAGCGGGGGAUAACUAUUGGAAACGAUAGCUAAUACCGCAUAAUAUUAAUUAUUGCAUGAUAAUUAAUUGAAAGGUGCAAUUGCACCACUACCAGAUGGACCUGCGUUGUAUUAGCUAGUAGGUGAGGUAACGGCUCACCUAGGCGACGAUACAUAGCCGACCUGGGAGGGUGAUCGGCCACACUGGGACUGAGACACGGCCCAGACUCCUACGGGGGGCAGCAGUAGGGAAUCUUCGGCAAUGGACGGAAGUCUGACCGAGCAACGCCGCGUGAGUGAAGAAGGUUUUCGGAUCGUAAAGCUCUGUUGUAAGAGAAGAAAGGGUGUGAGAGUGGAAAGUUCACACUGUGACGGUAUCUUACCAGAAAGGGACGGCUAACUACGUG
rnacentral:rRNA from 1 species